CAUCCCUUUUCCACUCUCUCUUCCUCCUGGUCUCUGCUCUGGAGUCGCCAUGUGAUCUGCCGGCAAGAGAGGGCACCAGUAGAAGGUGUCCUCUAUAAGGAACUCACGCCCGCAUUUCUGCACUCCAACGUGUGAGCAGAAGUGGAAGGGCACUCUGCCUGGAAGAAGACCAGCAUGAUCGGAACACCUGCUUUUGCCUAACCAGCCCUGCAACCUGAGGGAGGCCCAAGAAUAGUGAACCAGGGGAUCGGCAGAUGGAAACCUUUGAAACCCAGAGCUGAAACAAACCCCUCCUCUCUUCAGUUGAUUUCUUGGAUGGUUGUGGGGAUAAAAAAAUUGGAUGAACUCUAUAUAUAAUUAAAAAGUUUUAAUUUACUCAGAGGGUAUAUUCUGAUAACAGUCUUCUCCC
rnacentral:lncRNA from 1 species